CAGAGGUCUCAAGCGUUGUUCGGAAUUACUGGGCGUAAAGGGUGCGUAGGUGGCGUGGAAAGUCAGAUGUGAAAUCCGGAGGCUCAACCUCCGAAUAGCAUCCGAUACUGCCAUGCUAGAGAACUGGAGGGGGAUCUGGAAUUCUCGGUGUAGCAGUGAAAUGCGUAGAUAUCGAGAGGAACACUAGUGGCGAAGGCGAGAUCCUGGACAGUUUCUGACACUGAUGCACGAAGGCCAGGGGAGCGAACGGGAUUAGAUACCCCGGUAGUCCUGGCAGUAAACGGUGCACGUUUGGUGUGGGAGGAUUCGACCCCUUCUGUGCCGGAGCUAACGCGUUAAACGUGCCGCCUGGGAAGUACGGUCGCAAGAUUA
rnacentral:rRNA from 1 species